AAUUUUGUUUCUCUUUAAUUGCGAAUAAAUCUUUCACUUUUUACUAAAGAUUUCCGUGGAGAGAAACAACUCAAAAAAAUUCCAGUUCACGCACUUGCUCACUUGCAGCAAA